UUCUCACAGCUGAAGUCAGGUUAUUCAUUUUGGUAAGACGACCACAGAAGUGAUGUUGCCUCCUUAUUGAUGCAUCAAAUCAGGAGGUGCAGGCUAUCUGGUGAAGCUGACUUUGUCUGGUGGUGUCGAACAGUUCUCGGCACUGCAGAGUUACUUAUGAAUUCAUCUGUGUUCAGACGAAGACAGCAUCUUCUGGGGAGACACUCUGAGACAAUGCUGCCCUGAUCACCGGCUUUGACCUAUAGAAUGUGGCGGAAAUGAUGCUGUACAGCUUUCAAGGCUGGGCCUUAAGGGAUCUGCAGGCUUCUCCUUUUGCUCAUCGUGUUCCGUGCUAGAAGCCUGUUACCAUGUAGAAGUCCACCUGCUCUGCACUCGCCAGGCUGUGAGGAAGCCUCACGGAGAGAGGCUGGGGAGAGGGGCACUGAGGUGCCUGAGUGGGAGUGACAGCCUUUCAGACUUCCCAGGCCUGCCCAGCCACCCGCUGAAAGCAGCUGAAUGAGUGACUCCAGCCCACACCACAUGGAGCAGAAGACUCUACCCAUCAAGCUCCGCCCAAAUACCUGACCCACAGAUUCAUGAGUAAGUAAGAUGGUUGUGAUUUUACACCACUGAUGUUUGGGAGCAUUUAUCACAUUGCAGGAGAGAACCCAAACACACAUUUCUGUCAUUCAUACAUUUUCAUUGCAGAAAACUAGUGCAUGUGAUUAAAGUACCACUCCAGACCUCA